UUAGAUUUAAGAUGAUUCACGCCGGAUUAAGAAAAAGAAUUUACUUUAAUUCCAACAAAAAUGAUUUACACAAAAAAAAAAAAAAAAACACAUUUGUAAAUUUAGUUAUUAAAUUUAUAUGCAUUGAAUAUUUAUUUAAUUUAACAUUUAGCAUCUACACGAGCUAUUUGUUUAAGCAAAAAACUGAACGAUUAUUACAGUUUUCAUAGUAUAACCCGGAAGACUUUAUUUUAUUAUAUUUUAUUUCUUCACCUAAUUCCCACAUCUACCUACUCUUCCACCUCCAUGACAGCCAUGCCACCUUCCUUUACACCUCUUUUCCACCUCCAUGACAGCCCUUUACACUUAACAUCAUCAUCAAAUUCCUGCAGCCAAGUUCUCCAUUUUCCAUCCUCCACU
rnacentral:lncRNA from 1 species